rnacentral:rRNA from 1 species
GACCAGACUCCUACGGGAGGCAGCAGUGGGGAAUAUUGCACAAUGGGGGAAACCCUGAUGCAGCGACGCCGCGUGAGUGAAGAAGUAUUUCGGUAUGUAAAGCUCUAUCAGCAGGGAAGAAAAUGACGGUACCUGACUAAGAAGCCCCGGCUAACUACGUGCCAGCAGCCGCGGUAAUACGUAGGGGGCAAGCGUUAUCCGGAUUUACUGGGUGUAAAGGGAGCGUAGACGGCAUGGCAAGUCAGAUGUGAAAGCCCGGGGCUCAACCCCGGGACUGCAUUUGAAACUGUCAGGCUGGAGUGCAGGAGAGGUAAGUGGAAUUCCUAGUGUAGCGGUGAAAUGCGUAGAUAUUAGGAGGAACACCAGUGGCGAAGGCGGCUUACUGGACUGUAACUGACGUUGAGGCUCGAAAGCGUGGGGAGCAAACAGGAUUAGAUACCCGAGUAAG